rnacentral:tRNA from 1 species
GCUGGAGUGGCGGAAUCGGUAGACGCGCUGGACUCAAAAUCCAGUGAUAGCAAUGUCGUGAGGGUUCGAUUCCCUCCUUCAGUA